ACGAACGCUGGCGGCGUGCUUAACACAUGCAAGUCGAGCGGUAAGGCCCUUUCGGGGGUACACGAGCGGCGAACGGGUGAGUAACACGUGGGUGACCUGCCCUCAGCUCUGGGAUAAGCCUGGGAAACCGGGUCUAAUACUGGAUAUGACUCCAUGACGCAUGUUGUGGGGUGGAAAGCCUUGUGCGGCUGAGGAUGGGCCCGCGGCCUAUCAGCUUGUUGGUGGGGUGAUGGCCUACCAAGGCGACGACGGGUAGCCGGCCUGAGAGGGCGACCGGCCACACUGGGACUGAGACACGGCCCAGACUCCUACGGGAGGCAGCAGUGGGAAGUCUUGCGCAAUGGGCGAAAGCCUGACGCAACGACGCCGCGUGAGGGAUGAC
rnacentral:rRNA from 1 species